rnacentral:rRNA from 1 species
CCCAAUGAUAUUCAUUGAUGACAUCUGAUUUGAAUUAAAGAUUUAUCGGUAUAGGAUGGGGAUGCGUCUGAUUAGCUUGUUGGUGAGGUAACGGCUCACCCAAGGCCCACGAUCCAGUAGGGGUUCUGAGAGGAAGGUCCCCCACAUUGGAACUGAGACACGGUCCAAACUCCUACGGGAGGCAGCAGUGAGGAAUAUUGGUCAAUGGACGAGAGUCUGAACCAGCCAAGUAGCGUGCAGGAUGACGGCCCUAUGGGUUGUAAACUGCUUUUGUUUGGGAAUAAUCGACAUUACGUGUAAUGUUUUGCAUGUACCAUUCGAAUAAGGACCGGCUAAUUCCGUGCCAGCAGCCGCGGUAAU